rnacentral:rRNA from 1 species
UAUGGAGGGUGCAAGCGUUAUCCGGAUUCACUGGGUUUAGAGGGUGCGUAGGUGGGCUUGUAAGUCAGUGGUGAAAUCUCCGAGCUUAACUUGGAAACUGCCAUUGAUACUAUAAGUCUUGAAUAUUGUGGAGGUCAGCGGAAUAUGUCAUGUAGCGGUGAAAUGCUUAGAUAUGACAUAGAACACCAAUUGCGAAGGCAGCUGGCUACGCAUAUAUUGACACUGAGGCACGAAAGCGUGGGGAUCAAACAGG